UCUAAAAACGUCGCGCUUAAAGUAAAAACAAACUGCUAUUUUCGUUUUUAACAUGAUUUCCCACUCGAAUAAAAUGAAAUUAUCUAACCACAAGAUAUUUCAGGACCUCAGUGAAAGUUUAAAGGAGAAUCCAAGUGGAAAAUUGCGCAAUUUGCUAGAAUUAAGAGAUGAUGUUUUGUAUGUGUGGAAUUCGAUCGAGAACUGUUUAGCGACUUUAAACUUGAAGCAUUUGGAGGAACACGAUGAAGAGACACCUUAUCAGAAACUAUGCCUUCUCUCUCCGCCUCAGUACACUGUGGAACGCAUCACCACCAGCGGCUGUGGCAGUCGCGUCUGCGUCUGGGGUUCCCGUGGGGUCA